rnacentral:rRNA from 1 species
CAGUCGCCGCGGGAAUACGUAGGUGGUGAGCGUUGUCCGGAAUUAUUGGGCGUAAAAGGAGCGCAGGCGGACAUAUAAGUCCAUCUUAAAAGUGCGGGGCUCAACCCCGUGAGGGGAUGGAAACUGUAUGCCUUGAGUGCAGGAGAGGAAAGCGGAAUUCCCAGUGUAGCGGUGAAAUGCGUAGAUACUGGGAGGAACACCAGUGGCGAAGGCGGCUUUCUGGACUGUAACUGACGCUGAGGCUCGAAAGCCAGGGGAGCGAACGGGAUUAGAUACCCCUGUAGUCCCUGUCUCUUAUACA